ACAAAACGACUCUCGGCAACGGAUAUCUCGGCUCUCGCAUCGAUGAAGAACGUAGCGAAAUGCGAUACUUGGUGUGAAUUGCAGAAUCCCGUGAACCACCGAGUCUUUGAACGCAAGUUGCGCCCAAAGCCUUUUGGUUGAGGGCACGUCUGCCUGG
rnacentral:rRNA from 1 species